rnacentral:rRNA from 1 species
UGGGGAAUUCUGGACAAUGGGCGCAAGCCUGAUCCAGCCAUGCCGCGUGCGGGAAGAAGGCCUUCGGGUUGUAAACCGCUUUUGUCAGGGAAGAAAUCCUUUGAGCUAAUACCUCGGGGGGAUGACGGUACCUGAAGAAUAAGCACCGGCUAACUACGUGCCAGCAGCCGCGGUAAUACGGAGGAUCCAAGCGUUAUCCGGAAUCAUUGGGUUUAAAGGGUCCGUAGGCGGUUAUGCAAGACAGAGGUGAAAUCCCCGGGCUCAACCUGGGAACUGCCUUUGUGACUGCAUAGCUAGAGUACGGUAGAGGGGGAUGGAAUUCCGCGUGUAGCAGUGAAAUGCGUAGAUAUGCGGAGGAACACCGAUGGCGAAGGCAAUCCCCUGGACCUGUACUGACGCUCAUGCACGAAAGCGUGGGGAGCAAACA